UUGGAGACCUCAAAUCAGGUAGGACUACCCGCUGAACUUAAGCAUAUCAAUAAGCGGAGGAAAAGAAACUAACAAGGAUUCCCCUAGUAACUGCGAGUGAAGCGGGAAAAGCUCAAAUUUGAAAUCUGGCGGUUCUUGACCGUCCGAGUUGUAGUCUAGAGAAGUGUUACCUGUGCUGGACCGUGUAAAAGUCUUCUGGAAUGGAGCAUCAUAGAGGGUGAGAAUCCCGUCUUUGACACGGACUACCUGUACAUUAUGGUGCGCUCUCAAAGAGUCGAGUUGUUUGGGAAUGCAGCUCAAAAUGGGUGGUAAAUGCCAUCUAAAGCUAAAUAUUGGCGAGAGACCGAUAGCGAACAAGUACCGUGAGGGAAAGAUGAAAAGAACUUUGGAAAGAGAGUUAAACAGUACGUGAAAUUGCUGAAAGGGAAACGCUUGAAGUCAGUCGCGUUGGCUGGAAAUCAACCUUGCUCUUGCUUGGUGUACUUUCUGGUUGACGGGUCAGCAUCAAUUUUGACCACUGGAUAAAGUCUUUGGGAAUGUGGCAUCUUAGGAUGUGUUAUAGCCCAUUGUCGCAUACGGUGGUUGGGAUUGAGGAACUCAGCACGCCGCAAGGCCGGGUUUCGACCACGUUCGUGCUUAGGAUGCUGGCAUAAUGGCUUUAAUCGACCCGUC
rnacentral:rRNA from 1 species